GUCUGAGAAACUCGAAGCGCCGAAAGGUCAAGUGACUUGCCUGCAGCCCAGCAGCCGGGCUGGCGGCCGGGCGCAACGUGGAUGCCAGGCUGAGCUCGGGCUCUGACCUCUCCUGGGUGCCCGGAUCUGUAGGGCAGACUUCCCCCGGGAGGGGCGGCGGGCACAGCGCCGGGCCCACCCACACGAGAGCGCUUUGCUUCUUGCAAAACAGCGAGCUAAGCACGUCAACCGUUGGCAUCGGGACGGCAAUCAAAAUCAAGACCUUUUGGAGCCCGUCUUCUUGUACCCAGAGGGAAACUGAGGCCUGGACCCAGGCCUAAUUCCCGUCUGGCUUCUGAGCCAUUGCCAUGAGUCAGAAGCCAAGAGUUUCUUUUCGUUCCUUCUCGUGCAAUGAAACGGCACACAGUCCUGCGUGCUCCGCGGCUAAGGCAGCCCUGUCGCCCAGGGCGGACGCAGGAUGAGCCCCUAGUCCGCGCUCCGGGACUUUUCCGCUCUUUCUCUCCCAUCGCAUGUCGAAAGAAGAUCUUUCAAAACCUUCGAGCGGCAAAUUGCAAUCCGAGAAAUGAAGCAAAGAGAAAAUGCUCCCCGAGCCAGUGGAUAUCUGUAACAGCAGGUUUCACUUAUAGCAAAGACCCUUCUCUUCGCCUUGUAAAGAACCAGGAGAUGACUCAUCAGUGGGCAGCAGUUGUUAAAAAAAAAAAAAAAAAGAAAGAAAGAAAGAAAAAGAAAGGAAAAAAAGGUAUAUGGCCAAAGAAUACAGAGUCCUUGUUCGAAAUGAAAGAGCUUUAAUAUAUUUAUAUUUAUCACUCUGGUUGCAUUUAUAAGAUCAUUGAAAUUCAAGACUGUCUCGUUUCGCUAGCAACGGGAGAGAGAGAACUGCUUCCCACAUGUGACUUUCUCUGAUAACCCAAGCUUUGUAUCCUUUGAA